UGGAAGGGUUUCCCUCACCACCAGUUUACUCCUGGGGCCUAGCUCGGUCUCAGGCAGGAGAACACUCAGGAAGACAGCCAUAUAUCACUCCACUCGAGGCUGCCUCUGGUCUGGAAAUUGUGGGUCUGCUUCACCGUGUGCUGUAAAGAGCUUAUCUUUCUGUUUAUUUGUUUCUCCAGAUCGAAACAGCAUUGGCAGAGGGACAGAGCCAGCACCGGGACUGACCAGGAGCUGUUCCUCCUUCGCCUCAUUUUAGAGUUGAUUUGGGGGUUAAAGGUUACGCUUUUUGAGAGAGGUAGUAAAACAUUAAUUAUGGGUAAAGUUCUUUCUCUCUUGCUCCAUAGAUUAACUGGCUGAUCCUGUUUGCUCUAUAAAGUGAACCAUAUUUGCUAAGGGUAAUUUGAAAUCGGCAGUGCAAAUGGCCCCCUGACUUCCUCCUGCUGUUGGGCACUGUGCUGAGGUGAGUGCUGCAGGGCUCAUGGUCAUCAAGUCCCCCCAGUGGGACAAAUGCUGCAUAUCUUGUGAGAACCACUGGAUUACUAAGAUGUUAGCAGCCCCAUGGACUUCCCGGAGCCUGUCCCUCGUCAGGAAAUGUGCCAUCUAAGGCAUGCACAUCAGUUCACAGUGAUGCACAGUAAAACCGAAAGCCAAGGGUCUGAUUAACUGGCAUCACUGAAGGCUCUGAUUUUAUUCCCGUCCUGGGUGACCUGGGAGCAACACAGAUCGUAUGACCUGCUCUACACCUGUUGCUUGCUGCCUCCACGUCACUUACGGUCUCACUGGGGAGACGUGAGUGUUACACGUGAGACCAUGAGACAGCAGGAAAAGACUAGCAGAGCCAGGAGCUAAAACAUGGGCAAGGCCAGCAGGUCCCGGCAGGAAGUCUGCGGGCUCUGAGGCCCUCGUGGGCACAGGGCUGAGGUUGGGCAGGCGCCUCCACGUCUGCUGGGCAAAGAUCAGGUUGGCGCCGGGGUGGGAGGCUGGACAGGUGUGGAGGAGCAGGAAACACAUUCCAGGUUUCCGUAAGGAAAUGGGAAAAACCCGUUGUUUUAAAAAUUGAACUGAAAAAAUUGAACUGAAUUCUGUCUUAACCAACUUCCAGGGCAUGGCCAAAGUCAUCUGUAGCAGAGUAUCCCCAUGGACUGGGUUUGGGGCUGUGACUUAGUGCCUGGAAACAUUGGCACCAAGCUGAGGCUCUUAUGGUUCCAUUGUUCGUGGUCUUGAGACUUGGCCUUCAUAAACACAGCUCAGCAAAGGCGUCGUUAUUGGGCAGGCCACUGCAAACUUGCCCAAAUCUGUGGAAGCACCUGGUGAAUCCCGAGCACUCUCUAAGCAGAGUGAGAAGAACCCUGAAGUCAUAUUUUUGAAGUGUCUCUUAUGAGUGUUGAAGAUGGGGGCGUCUGCUGAGCUUAUGCAGGAGGCUGUUUGCUUAUUUGAGGGCUGAAGUUUGUAUGAAGACUGGGUGCUCAAUGGCUCAGAUGCAAUGAUGGAUGCUUCCAGGAGAGGCAACAUGAGUCCUUGAAUCGUACAAAUUGAUAUUCCACAGCCUCAUGAAGUCAUCUCUGCUGAAUCAGGUUUCUCCCUGACGUGGAGGGUGUGGCCGCACAGCAUUUGACAGCAUGGAGAGAGCAAUCAGACUAAUUUCUUAUUAUGUUCUAACAAUAUAAAAAUCCAAACUACAUAAUUGAGGCAAAUAAUAAAUCUUUCUGGACCAUGAUUACCCAAUUUGACUGUUUACUUUAAUCAAAUCACAAAAUAAUGAUCAAAUUUGGAUUUGAUUAUGUGCCUAUAAAGAUAACCAAGAAGCAAAUGUAAGUAACUGUCAGUCAAAGUCUUCUCAGACAAUAGCUCGCAUUACAACACGCCAAUUACAUUUUUAUCAGGUAGUUAAGUUAAUUACCUGUGGUAAAUGUGUUAGUGGGACAAGUGUAGAUUGCUGUAAACAUUUGCUGACCACUUUAAAAUGCUGCUGGACCAUAUGGGAGGAUUCAAGGGUACAAUAGCAUGCAGAUGUAUUUACACCUGCUAAUGCCAUAUAAAAUCCAAUAAAGUGUUCAUGGUGAA
rnacentral:lncRNA from 1 species